rfam:Aedes aegypti strain Liverpool supercont1.897 genomic scaffold, whole genome shotgun sequence.
GGCUCGGUAGCUUAGUUGGUAAAGCGCUCGUCUAGCAUACAAGAGUCCUGGGUUCAAAUCCCAGCCGAACAC